CCUCCUGUGGCUCAGUUGGUAGAGCAUGGUGUUUGCAACACCAGGGUUGUGGGUUCGAUUCCCACGGGGGGC
rnacentral:tRNA from 1 species